UGAAACCAACAAAUAUCGAAUAUACUUGCUUCUCCGCACCCAAGGCCUGGACUGAGCAGGCUCAGCGCUAUGGGAUCGCAGCGGGAGUACCCGGUCCUUGCGUGGUCACCAGCUGCAGCCUCUUUCUUCGCUAUUUGCUGGGUUAAAACGCUUCUCUCUCACUUCCCUCCUUUUCGCCCCUGGAUCUGAGAAAUAAAUCCAAGUCUCCUACUGCAUCAGCCCUCCCCAUCGCUGCUAUCUCACUUCUCCUUACCGAAGAUAGUCUCUUUGUUUUCUGAAGGAAACCGUAAUAUUCAGACAUUUGAGAGAAUCCAGUGUUUACAAGAUGAGAAAUGCCACUGCCAGCGUCCUUCUGGAGAGAAAGGCUGAAAUGGAGGACCGACGCCUUCCUUAUAAGCUCAUUGGACCCUGAGCCAGCACCGACCUGGUAGAAAAAGCAACCUCGAAGCCAGAGAGAAAGAGAGAGCCAGAGGAGGGAAGAGAGCGCCAGACUGAGAUGAAAGGGAACCACGCAGAGAAACGCUGGGAAAGGAACGAGACGGCAGGUCCCCGGAACAAACGUGGCAGAGGGCAAGACAAGCACUCAAUGGCUCGCGGACAGAGGUUUAUAUAUUUUUAUUUUUAAAGUCUCAUUUUGGGCCCGAUGAAGAAAAGGGAGAAUUCAGGGAAGGAGAGAGGAAAGAGUCCUAGCUCACAGCAUGAACGCCCAAGAAGGAAAGAGCGCUGGAUAAACCCGAGUGGGCGCCAGGGCAGCUCCGGCUCCAGGCAGGCGUCGUCCCACACGCAGCUCAGCUCGCGACCGGGGCCCUCCAAGCCGCACCCUGCCCGCCCCGCGGUGGCUGCCGCAGCUUCCUUGCACUUCUUAUCAUCUCCAUCUUUAUGGUGAGGCUUGUUAACAAGACCAGCGAGCUGGCCACUCACAUCUA